CAGUCGCCGCGGUAAUACGAAGGGGGCUAGCGUUGCUCGGAAUGACUGGGCGUAAAGGGCGCGUAGGCGGCACAUACAGUCAGAUGUGAAAUUCCUGGGCUUAACCUGGGGGCUGCAUUUGAUACGUAUGAGCUAGAGUGGGGAAGAGGGUUGUGGAAUUCCCAGUGUAGAGGUGAAAUUCGUAGAUAUUGGGAAGAACACCGGUGGCGAAGGCGGCAACCUGGUCCUUGACUGACGCUGAGGCGCGAAAGCGUGGGGAGCAAACAGGAUUAGAUACCCCCGUAGUCCCUGUCUCUUAUAC
rnacentral:rRNA from 1 species